UGUCAUUGCAGCUAACAAGGGUACUAGUGGGGUGUGAAGGAAUUGAAAAUUUUGUAUGCAAUACCCUAGUGAACACAUCAUGUAACGAUGAUAUUUCAGAGUCAGAAAGAAUCUGAGAUUUAGCUGUCUCAAACUCUGGAGGGAGACCUGCAAGAAAGCUCAUAAUAUCCAUUUGCUCUCGUUGAGCUUGUUGAGUUUUCACAUCUGUACUAAAGGGCAUCAAUACAUUAAGUUCUUCAUAAACUCUUUUAAAAUCCAUAAAAUAGGAUGUCAAAGUUCUAUCAUUUUUCUCGGCUCGGUAAAACGCCUUACACACAUCAUAAAUACGGGAAAUAUUCCUUUUGCCAGAAUAUAG
rnacentral:lncRNA from 1 species